GAUGAAGAACGCAGCGAAAUGCGAUAACUAGUGUGAAUUGCAGAUUUCAGUGAAUCAUCGAGUCUUUGAACGCACAUUGCGCCCCCUGGUAUUCCGGGGGGCAUGCCUGUCCGAGCGUCAUUGCUGCCCUCAAGCACGGCUUGUGUGUUGGGCCUCCGUCCUCCUCCCGGGGGACGGGCCCGAAAGGCAGCGGCGGCACCGCGUCCGGUCCUCGAGCGUAUGGGGCUUCGUCACCCGCUCUUGUAGGCCCGGCCGGCGCUUGCCGACACAUCAAUCUUUUUUCCAGGUUGACCUCGGAUCAGGUAGGGAUACCCGCUGAACUUAAGCAUAUCAAUAAGCGGAGGA
rnacentral:misc_RNA from 1 species